UUCUGCGGCGUGGUCUGCCAAUCUCUGAGCGCUCCGUGUCCCCGAUCCCCUCCGCCCGAAUCGCCCACGUCCCCGAUCCCCGCGACACCUUGAUUUGUGGAUCAAUUCCACCCGAAUCGCCGGCUAAUUCCUCGACGGCUCGACCCACUUUCCCACUCGGGUUGCCCCCACAAAUCCCCUCCGCCCUAUCCUACUGCCUACACGCGAGCGCAGCACCGACAAUGGGGUGGCUACGCGCGUGCCGCCGCCAUCUCCGCCGCCUCACCAUCGAGCCCCACCCCCACUCCGGCGCAACUGCCGCACUUCCCUGCCCGCUUGUCUAAUUUUUUCAUCAGCGGUGGCGGUCGCUGCCACCGCGCUCCAUGACGCCGGCAACUCUGUCCUCGGGACCUCGGCCUGGAUCCGCGCCCCAUGACGCCCACGACUCUGGCCUGUAUCGGGGCGGCGGCAGAGACGGCCCUGCCCCCCACGCAUCCACUGAGGAGGAGGAAGAAGGCCUGGCGCCCUAUAUCCCCCGUCAAGGAAGACAUUGCUUGCCACCGAGAUGUUGUUGUAUGUACAUCAGAUAACCUCAUUUACUCACGUUUUUGUGGGGCACUGGAUUGAAGGACAACAGAUUUUGCUAACGCUAUGUGGUUGUCUUCCAAUAUGGUUCUGCCGUGCUCUUGAAUAUUGCUGAUCAUGAAGUUGAGCACUAUCUUGAUAUGAUCAGGAAUCAUGCUUCCGGAUGGCUUCUGGAUAUGAGGAAAGACGGUGUGAAAGGGCUCGCGCGAGGCAUGCAGCGCGUGCGUGUGAAUGUACAGAUGCGAUGCGGUGGAGGGCUCAACAAGAUUCGGUUUCAGUUAGCUCUUGAUCAAUAUCCUUCAGCACACCUGUAAAUUCUGUAGCAAAUGGUUGUAAGCAAUCUCAAUUCGACUAACAAUAUUGAUGGAUACUAAGUACUACUGCCAAUCAUCAUGUAAAAUGUCCCAACUCUAUAUUAGUUCUAGAAAAUAA